rnacentral:sRNA from 1 species
UUCGUCUGUAGCCAACAGAGGAUGAGAACCUCCGCAGGAGGUUUGAGUCGAGCGGAGCGAGACAACGUUGCGUAGCAACGGCCCGCAGGGCGACGUUCUAAGUCGUCAUCCUCUCUCGCCGACCA